rnacentral:rRNA from 1 species
UCAUUAAAUCAGUUAUCGUUUAUUUGAUAGUACCUUACUACUUGGAUAACCGUGGUAAUUCUAGAGCUAAUACAUGCUAAAAACCUCGACUUCGGAAGGGGUGUAUUUAUUAGAUAAAAAACCAAUGCCCUUCGGGGCUUCUUGGUGAUUCAUAAUAACUUAACGAAUCGCAUGGCCUUGUGCCGGCGAUGGCUCAUUCAAAUUUCUGCCCUAUCAACUUUCGAUGUUAAUGUAUUGGAUUAACAUGGUUUCAACGGGUAACGGGGAAUUAGGGUUCUAUUCCGGAGAGGGAGCCUGAGAAACGGCUACCACAUCCAAGGAAGGCAGCAGGCGCGCAAAUUACCCAAUCCCGACACGGGGAGGUAGUGACAAUAAAUACUGAUACAGGGCUCUUUUGGGUCUUGUAAUUGGAAUGAGUACAAUUUAAAUCCCUUAACGAGGAACAAUUGGAGGGCAAGUCUGGUGCCAGCAGCCGCGGUAAUUCCAGCUCCAAUAGCGUAUAUUAAAGUUGUUGCAGUUAAAAAGCUCGUAGUUGAACCUUGGGCCUGGCUGGCCGGUCCGCCUCACCGCGUGCACUGGUCCGGCCGGGCCUUUCCUUCUGGGGAGCCGCAUGCCCUUUACUGGGUGUGUCGGGGAACCAGGACUUUUACUUUGAAAAAAUUAGAGUGUUCAAAGCAGGCCUAUGCUCGAAUACAUUAGCAUGGAAUAAUAGAAUAGGACGUGUGGUUCUAUUUUGUUGGUUUCUAGGACCGCCGUAAUGAUUAAUAGGGAUAGUCGGGGGCAUCAGUAUUCAAUUGUCAGAGGUGAAAUUCUUGGAUUUAUUGAAGACUAACUACUGCGAAAGCAUUUGCCAAGGAUGUUUUCAUUAAUCAGUGAACGAAAGUUAGGGGAUCGAAGACGAUCAGAUACCGUCGUAGUCUUAACCAUAAACUAUGCCGACUAGGGAUCGGGCGAUGUUAUCUUUUUGACUCGCUCGGCACCUUACGAGAAAUCAAAGUCUUUGGUCUG